AUAUCAAUAAGCGGAGGAAAAGAAACCAACAGGGAUUGCCCCAGUAACGGCGAGUGAAGCGGCAACAGCUCAAAUUUGAAAUCUGGCCCCUCCGGGUCCGAGUUGUAAUUUGUAGAGGAUGCUUUUGGUGAGGUGCCGCCCGAGUUCCCUGGAACGGGACGCCACAGAGGGUGAGAGCCCCGUCUGGCUGGCCGCCGAACCUAUGUAAAGCUCCUUCGACGAGUCGAGUAGUUUGGGAAUGCUGCUCAAAAUGGGAGGUAUAUGUCUUCUAAAGCUAAAUACUGGCCAGAGACCGAUAGCGCACAAGUAGAGUGAUCGAAAGAUGAAAAGCACCUUGAAAAGAGGGUUAAAUAGUACGUGAAAUUGUUGAAAGGGAAGCGCUUGUGACCAGACUUGGGCGCGGCGGAUCAUCCGGGGUUCUCCCCGGUGCACUUCGCCGUGUCCAGGCCAGCAUCAGUUCGUCGCGGGGGAAAAAGGCUUCGGGAACGUGGCUCCUCCGGGAGUGUUAUAGCCCGUUGCAUAAUACCCUGCGGUGGACUGAGGACCGCGCAUCUGCAAGGAUGCUGGCGUAAUGGUCACCAGCGACCCGUCUUGAAACACGGACCAAGGAGUCGUCUUCGUAUGCGAGUGUUCGGGUGUCAAACCCCUACGCGUAAUGAAAGUGAACGCAGGUGAGAGCUUCGGCGCAUCAUCGACCGAUCCUGAUGUUCUCGGAUGGAUUUGAGUAAGAGCAUACGGGGCCGGACCCGAAAGAAGGUGAACUAUGCCUGUAUAGGGUGAAGCCAGAGGAAACUCUGGUGGAGGCUCGCAGCGGUUCUGACGUGCAAAUCGAUCGUCAAAUAUGGGCAUGGGGGCGAAAGACUAAUCGAACCUUCUAGUAGCUGGUUUCCGC
rnacentral:rRNA from 1 species